UAACGCGUGAGUAACCUGCCCUAGAGUGGGGGACAACNNUUGGAAACGACUGCUAAUACCGCAUAAGCCCACGGUACCGCAUGGUACUGAGGGAAAAGGAUUUAUUCGCUUUAGGAUGGACUCGCGUCCAAUUAGCUAGUUGGUGAGGUAACGGCCCACCAAGGCGACGAUUGGUAGCCGGACUGAGAGGUUGAACGGCCACAUUGGGACUGAGACACGGCCCAGACUCCUACGGGAGGCAGCAGUGGGGGAUAUUGCACAAUGGGGGAAACCCUGAUGCAGCGACGCCGCGUGGAGGAAGAAGGUUUUCGGAUUGUAAACUCCUGUCGUUAGGGACGAUAAUGACGGUACCUAACAAGAAAGCACCGGCUAACUACGUGCCAGCAGCCGCGGUAAAACGUAGGGUGCAAGCGUUGUCCGGAAUUACUGGGUGUAAAGGGAGCGCAGGCGGGAAGACAAGUUGGAAGUGAAAACCAUGGGCUCAACCCAUGAAUUGCUUUCAAAACUGUUUUUCUUGAGUAGUGCAGAGGUAGAUGGAAUUCCCGGUGUAGCGGUGGAAUGCGUAGAUAUCGGGAGGAACACCAGUGGCGAAGGCGGUCUACUGGGCACCAACUGACGCUGAGGCUCGAAAGCAUGGGUAGCAAACAGGAUUAGAUACCCUGGUAGUCCAUGCCGUAAACGAUGAUUACUAGGUG
rnacentral:rRNA from 1 species